GCACUGCUGACGGGUCCAAAACAGGACAAAACAGCUGUCCAGUGC
rfam:Echinostoma caproni strain Egypt genome assembly, scaffold: ECPE_scaffold0001534